AAUCAAAUUGUCAAUUGGACUGUGUAAACUUAUGUCAACGAUGUUGAUCAAUGAGGUGAAAUUUCACAAAGCGAUAACAGAUGACGGCGGAUGUCAGUGCUCGGAAGCCACCAGUAGAAGCAGCCGAACAUUCAUAAAGUGCUCACUUAACACCCCCAGGGGGCACCAUCGAGGGGCGUCAUACAGGGCGGCGUUCAAGCUACUACCGCUAGUCAGUGUACUUAACUUAAGAUUUGAUGAUGAAACAUCGAAGAUCUUCUCAAUUAAGUUGCAGUAUUAUCUUAACUGAGGAUAUAUGUACGCCUACAUGUCUUGUGGACGGAUGAAACACAAGUGGCGCUGACCUGAGAACACCGAACCAACUGUGAAGCAUGGAGGUGGCAGGAUCUUGUUGUGGGGCUGUUUUGCUACCUCAGGAACUGGACCGCGUCAUAAAACAGAUGACAUCAUGAAGAAAGAACAUUACAUGGCGGUAUUAAGGCAAGAUCUCGAGAUAUCAGCCAGGGACUUAAAACUUGGUUGCUAAUGGGUCUUUCAAAUGGACAAUGACCCUAAACAUACUGGAAAAAUGGUCCAAACGUGGCUUUGGGAUAACAAAGAAAUCUUGGAUUGGCCAUCACAAAGCCCUGAUCUGAAUCCCGUCAAAAACGUUUGGGAAAGCCAACCGACAAGCCUGACUCAGUUCCAGCAGUUCUGUCAGGAGGCCCGGCCCAGCAUUCCAGCAGAAUAACUGUCAGAACCUGGUUGAAGAUUAGGCAGAACCUUCGACCCAAGUCAUGCAGUUCAAAGGAAAUUCUACUCCAUACUAAGGAAACAAAGCGUCAUGGCGUCCUAAAUAUUUGAUGCAUGGCGGGAGGAGUGAGGUCAGAGGAAAUCGCCAGUGAAGUCCUUAGGCUCAUUAAGCAAACGGUCGAUCCAUGCAACACCUCCCGCUUGGAGCUGCGACAGCUCGGAUCGGCUCGGCCAGCUGGCACAGCAAGAAAAACUUGAAAAGCCCCCCCCACCCCCAAAAUCACCCACUUCUUCACCUUUCCUUUUUUUUUUUUUUUUUUUUUUUAAUCUAACUG